rnacentral:tRNA from 1 species
GGCGCAUUCGUCUAGUGGUUAGGACGCUUGGUUCUCAUCCAAGGAACAGGGGUUCGAUUCCCCUAUGCGCUA